GACAGAGGGUGCGAACGUUGUUCGGAAUUACUGGGCGUAAAGCGCAUGUAGGCGGCAGCGCAAGUCGGGCGUGAAAUCCCACGGCUCAACCGUGGAAGUGCACUCGAAACUGCGCAGCUAGAGUCCUGGAGAGGAAGGUGGAAUGCUUGGUGUAGAGGUGAAAUUCGUAGAUAUCAAGCGGAACACCGGUGGCGAAGGCGGCCUUCUGGACAGUGACUGACGCUGAGAUGCGAAAGCGUGGGAGCAAACAGG
rnacentral:rRNA from 1 species